AUGUCUUUCUAACUCGAUGAGCUUUUAUAUAUCUCUCAAAGUCGUUGAAUGGUAAACCUCACCAGUGGAUGUUUGCUUGCAAUGAUGAAAUGAAAAACAAGAGAACUACAAUAACAGGCAGUCUGUUAUCCAUUUGGAAAUUACUGUCUCAAAUAGGCAGAUAGGUACAUGUUGGAAGGAAGAGACGGCAAAUUACGAUAAUCUACUUGACGUAGUAAGGAAGGUUGAUGACAUAGAGAAGGAAAUAAGCCCAGGUCACCCCUGAAAUCCCACCGAAGAAGAACCCUCCGGUGAACUUUGACCACCCGUCAGCUGUCUGCAGCUGGUCAGGCACCUUCUUCC
rnacentral:lncRNA from 1 species